rnacentral:rRNA from 1 species
AGUGAACGCUGGCGGCAGGCCUAACACAUGCAAGUCGAGCGGCAGCGGGUUCCCGCGAGGGGAUGCCGGCGAGCGGCGGACGGGUGAGGAACACAUCGGAAUCUGCCUGGUUGUGGGGGAUAACGUAGGGAAACUUACGCUAAUACCGCAUGAGACCCUGAGUCGACGGACUGGGGGUGAAAGUGAGGGACCUUCGGGCCGUCACGCCGACCAGAUGAGCCGAUGUCGGAUUAGCUAGUUGGCGGGUAACGGCCCGCCAAGGCGACGAUCCGUAGCUGGUCUGAGAGGAUGAUCAGCCACACUGGGAC